UGGGGAAUUUUGGACAAUGGGCGCAAGCCUGAUCCAGCCAUGCCGCGUGUCUGAAGAAGGCCUUCGGGUUGUAAAGGACUUUUGUCAGGGAAGAAAAGGCUGUUGCUAAUAUCGACAGCUGAUGACGGUACCUGAAGAAUAAGCACCGGCUAACUACGUGCCAGCAGCCGCGGUAAUACGUAGGGUGCGAGCGUUAAUCGGAAUUACUGGGCGUAAAGCGAGCGCAGACGGUUACUUAAGCAGGAUGUGAAAUCCCCGGGCUCAACCUGGGAACUGCGUUCUGAACUGGGUGACUAGAGUGUGUCAGAGGGAGGUAGAAUUCCACGUGUAGCAGUGAAAUGCGUAGAGAUGUGGAGGAAUACCGAUGGCGAAGGCAGCCUCCUGGGAUAACACUGACGUUCAUGCUCGAAAGCGUGGGUAGCAAACAGGAUUAGAUACCCUGGUAGUCCACGCCCUAAACGAUGUCAAUUAGCUGUUGGGCAACUUGAUUGCUUAGUAGCGUAGCUAACGCGUGAAAUUGACCGCCUGGGGAGUACGGUCGCAAGAUUA
rnacentral:rRNA from 1 species